UACGUAGGGUGCGAGCGUUCCUCGGAAUUACUGGGCGUAAAGCGUGCGUAGGCGGUUCGUUAAGUUCGUUGUUAAAGCCCCGGGCUCAACCUGGGAAUGGCAAUGGAAACUGGCGGGCUGGAGUAUGGCAGAGGGGGGUGGAAUUCCGCGUGUAGCAGUGAAAUGCGUAGAGAUGUGGAGGAACACCGAUGGCGAAGGCAGCCCCCUGGGCUAACACUGACGCUCAUGCACGAAAGCGUGGGGAGCAAACAGG
rnacentral:rRNA from 1 species